rnacentral:rRNA from 1 species
UACAGAGGUCCCGAGCGUUGUUCGGAUUCACUGGGCGUAAAGGGUGCGUAGGUGGUGAGGUAAGUCGGAUGUGAAAUCUCCGGGCUCAACCCGGAAAUGGCAUUGGAAACUACCUUGCUGGAGGAUUUGAGGGGGGAUUGGAAUACUUGGUGUAGCAGUGAAAUGCGUAGAUAUCAGGAGGAACACCGAUGGCGAAGGCAGCUCGCUGGGACGGUACUGACGCUGAGACGCGAAAGCGUGGGGAGCAAACAGG